CCGCCUGAGGAGAUUAUGAGUAGGACCAUGGUGCAGAUUCUUCUGCCUAUAAUAUUUUUUAAAGCAAUUGUUUUAGAAAUGAAAAAGAUGAGAAAUAGUAGAGAUGCCACUUCGAAAUUUUUUUAACGCAAUUGUUUUAGAAUUGAAAAAGAUGAGAAAUAGUAGAGAUGCCACUUCCAUUUAAGUGCGACUUGACAAUGAGGGAAACAAUUCCUUGUUUUUACUUAACCAUUUUGUAUAGUAGUAGUAGAAAACAAGGAUUUUCUACUUGUAAAGUCGGUUAAAAUGACUAAUUCCUGUCAAAUGAAAAUAGCCAAUUUUUAUUCAAGAAAUUUUUUUUAAGUCACUUGAUUGUAAGACCCAAAAACCUUUUAUAUGUUCAUGUUUCCUAAUUCACAUGGUGUUUAUUGACCUAGAGAAGGUAUAUGACAAGGUCCCUCGGGAUGUACUUUGGAGAUGUCGGGAGGUGAAAGGGGUGCCGGUAGGGUACAUUAGAUUUAUAAAGGAUAUGUAUGAUGGAGCUAAGACUCGGGUCAGAACCGCGGGAGGUGACUCAGACCGGGAGGUGAAAGGGGUGCCGGUAG
rnacentral:lncRNA from 1 species